GACUGAGUGGCGGACGGGUGAGUAACGCGUGGGUAACCUACCUUGCACAGGGGGACAACAGUUGGAAACGACUGCUAAUACCGCAUAAGACCACAGUACCGCAUGGUACAGGGGUAAAAACUGAGGUGGUGCAAGAUGGACCCGCGUCUGAUUAGCUAGUUGGUGGGGUAAAGGCCUACCAAGGCGACGAUCAGUAGCCGACCUGAGAGGGUGAUCGGCCACAUUGGGACUGAGACACGGCCCAAACUCC
rnacentral:rRNA from 1 species